rnacentral:rRNA from 1 species
UACAGAGGGUGCGAGCGUUGUCCGGAAUCACUGGGCGUAAAGGGCGCGUAGGUGGCCCGAUAAGUAGGGGGUGAAAUCUCGAGGCUCAACUUCGAGGCUGCCUCCUAAACUGUCGGGCUCGAGCAGAGUAGAGGCAGGUGGAAUUCCUGGUGUAGCGGUGAAAUGCGCAGAUAUCAGGAAGAACACCCGUGGCUAAGGCGGUUCUCUAGUACGGUACUGACGCUGAGGAGCGAAAGCGUGGGGAGCAAACAGG